rnacentral:lncRNA from 1 species
AACACAAAAUGGCGACACGUGGUUAGCAUUCGUCGCCAACGAGAAAUUGGGGUCGGCCCGAAAGCUCUAGAAUGCACCCCUCUUCCUCCCCGGGGCCUUCCACCUCCGCGAGUUUUAUGACUUAAAAAAGCCCACAGGCUGGUCUGAAGGUCGGAGGCCUAAUUUUAACGCGUUUUCCUCCCUUUAAUUUGAAACGGGAACGCGAAUGACUGUAAAAUGUGGGCACAAUAUUUAAUCUCUCGCCUUUUUAAAGCUUAAUAGUGGAUAAUAGGGGGGCAGUAUCAAGGGAUAAUUUGGGUCCCCACAGUACCAAAGCAUUUAGAAACCUCUGUUUAAUUUAAGGAAUGAGAUAAGUUACUGCUUUUCUAGACUUCCUAGCAUGGGCUGUUGUGCUGGAGAGAACGAGAGCUACGAAGAGACUACAGUGCCUCUGACUUUUUCAUAGGACAGUUGGCCGAGGAAGACAAACAUAAAGAUGAAGUGCUUAAUUCAAGGUCACACAAUGUCGGGGAUGGACCUCCAGAUUUCCUUACUGGUGAGACGUGGUCUUGUAACACAGUGGUUAAGAAUGUGACUUUGGAGCCAGCCUGCUAGGGGCUGAAUUCUGACUCAGCCAUUUACUAACUGUGUGACCUUAGGCUGGAGUGCAAUGGCAUGAUCUCGGCUCAUCACAACCUCUGCUUCCUGGGUUCAAGCGAUUCUCCUGCCUCAGCCUCCCGAGUACCUGGGACUACAGGCACUCGCCACCAUGCCCGGCUGAUUUUUGUAUUUUUAAUAGAGAUGGUUUCACUAUGUUGGCCAGGCUGGUCUCGAACUCCUGACCUUGUGAUCUGCCCACCUCAGCCUCGAAAAGUGCUGGGAUUACAGGCGUGAGCCACUGCGCCCAGCCUUGUAUUUUUUUUCAGUUUGGGUAGCUGUCCCUAAUUCAUUUGUUAAAGGAGAAGCAAGAGCAAGAACCUUUAAUCUGUUCUCCUCUUCCCUAAUUUGAAAGUAGCUUGUUAUUUUGAAUAUCACUUUCUCUGAAAUAGCACAUCUCCAUCUCAGAGAAUGGAUUUAAUGUUUGGAUACAGCCAAAAGUCAUUUCAUUACCAAACCAUGGGGUGAAUAUACC